GUACGUUCUAGGCGUCAAAAUCGAUACAGUUCGCGAGGUUCCAACCCGAAAUGACAUACAAACAGAGAUUGCAUAAGGAAGGUAUCAACAACAUAAAAACAACAAAGUUAUUACAAGCAUUCACAUCACAUGCUUUAUAAAUAUUAUAUUUUCGUUUUCUUGUCUUCCAAAUACAAUCAAGAUUAUUACAACAUUAUCUUUCUUCUUUUCUACAACCCCUAGUUAGGCCGACUUGGGGCAAUGCUAUUUCUGGUCUCUCUGGUAGGGCGCUAACUACGGAGCUACGCCAUUUUCUCACGCCGCCACGUCACUUGCGUAUGAACCUGAAAUCCCCAAAACAACGUGGGGUGAGAACUAUUCUCCAUAGUUCCCAGUGGGUACGACCACCCAAGGGAAGAGCUCGACCCACCAGGUCCGAAAAAGGCACUGCAAUAUGUUAGUCCAACAAGUAUCCACAGAUAUAUAUAUAUUUCAUCAAAUAUUUUAUGCCACUAGCAUUUAUCUUGUUCAUGCCUCGCAACAUGCAACAAUGCAAUCAUGCAACUCAAUAUGCAAUAAUGUAAGUAGAUCAACUGCUUCUACUUUUUGUCUCGCUAUCUAUAGCUCAUCUAAAUGACAUCUAAGUUUUCCUCUAUCUUAGAUUCAUGUCAAUUACUAUUCUGCUCGUAAGGUUUCAUGUACCUUUACAAAGCUAUCCACUCGACUUGGUCUUGAGUCAAUCAUCCGCGGAGUACCGUGUAAAGCCAGGCUCAAGGUGAAGGACGUCUCACUUGCACCUCAGCCUUAAAUCCACUCAACUAGGAUACCAAAUCCACUCUACUGGGUUCAACUACAGCUUAUAUGCUUGUCAACCAAUCACCUGGCUAACCCGAAGGUUUGCCCUCGACUCACCAUGCCAUCUCGUAAGGUAAGGAGACACACUUUGCUCACAAACCCGAGACCGUCUGCUAGACAAGUAACUUUAGUCCAUCACGUGAAGACUCCGGAGCUCACUGCUUGUGUGGAGCGACCACCCCAAGUAAAAACAGACUGUGAGUAUGAUUCAAUCCUCGCCAACUGAGGAUACCCUGUUAACUAGGGCUAACAACAACACGGUAAAUCCACUUAUCCCAAUACUCAUGUCACAAGUGUCUCUACUACACUAGUUCUACAUGGCACAUAUCAACGACUCGGGAAAUCAUCUAUCCCUAUGUUCACAUCAUGGUGUCUUUACUACACUAAUAUCAAAUGCUACUCGAUCUACUUGACAUCCUAGCUAUCCACAUCGAGUAUCAUAACUUUCACAUUACUGUUUUCCAAUGUCGAAUUCUCUAACCAUCCAAGAGUUAUCGACCCAAGUUAAACAUACAUAUAUUAUUUAACAUAAUCCACAAUAUAACCAACAUGUAUAUAUAUCAACUAGCAUCUCAUGAUAUAUCAACAUGCAUAUAUUUUCAUCUAGCAUCUCAUCUAAUAGAUUCCAAUAGUAGGCAACAUCAUUUAGUAUAAUAUGAAUCAUGCAUUCAUAUAGUAUCAUUUUCAUGCAUUCAUCUAGCAUUUAACUCAUACAUUCAUCUAGCACUUAACUCAUGCAUUCAUCUAGCAUUUAAUUCAUGCAUUUAGCUCAUUAUAUGCAUCAACAAGAGACAACACUUCACUUCGACAUGGAAGUGAACUAAUAUCUUCGGUGAGCACAACCCACCUCGCAACGCUCUCCGAUUGCUUGUCAACACUUGCAAUCGGGCUCCCGCGGCACACGAUACCCGGUUCGGCUCGAAUCCGCAAUCGAUCAUCGAACGCCCGCUAAUCCGCGACCUAGGGUCAUCAACGGCUCGUCUCUGACCUUCAAUUAGAGAACAACAGGGUUUUAUUAGAUCAAAACCCUCUAAUUUCCAAGACCCCCAUUCUAACCCUAGCCUCUACAAAUGCUCCAAAUAACCCAAAUUAAAUGGAGAAAACAUGCUAACAUCACAUUAGAGGCUAUUAGAACAUCAAGUAUUAAAGAUUUAACAAAAAUCCUAACACUUACGAAAUUGCAAACAUCGAGUCGGAAGCACGCCGCUCAACCGGGUGCACGAAGACUCGAAUCGUCGCUCCACACGCGUUUGCAAGCUCGCUCUCCACAAACGCGCGGAUUAGAGAGAGAGAUCUAGAGAGAUGAGGGAGAUAUCUAGAGAGAGAAAAGGAGGGUUUCUCUUUCUCCCUCUCCAUUCCAUACGUGUGUGUGUUGGUGUUGCUCUGCUGAGGAGGAAGAAGAAGCCAAGUGGCUCUUUUUUAUAGUCAACACCCCUCUAAACACUAUUCCAGCUAGCAGUUUAGCUUUCAGAAUCUGAUACUUUUCGCCGGAGUCCUUCUGAAUGUCAGUUUGUGCUCAAAUUUGACAGUCAAGCUCGAUUUUACUUAAUAAACAGAAAAAUAUCUUAACUUUCCAGUUUGGACCAUUUUUGAUCACCGAAAGCUCUACCGAACUAAAAUCUCUAGCCGAUAGCACUCAGAUUUUAUUUUCUACUUUCCGGGUGUCAAAAUGACAUGAAACUUUAAAUCUAGCAUCAUAAAAAUAAUUCUGACAUAUUUCCAAGUUUUCAUAAUUUUCUGACACUGCGAAUUUUCUUCUAAGAUAUCAGCCUCGUUUCUCACAGAAAAUUCUAAUUCUUCUGUUUCUACUCCAAUUUCAGCACAAGUCAUUUCCGACUCAUACUUUACUUCUUUAAGUCAAAUAAAAAUAGUAUAUCAUACUAUUUUUAUUUACUUUUACUUUUAUAUUAAAAUUCCGGCACAUCAUAUUCCACCGUAACUUCAUAACCUCAGAAGUUCGGCACUUUACAUCCUCCCCUCCUUAAAAAGAGUUUCGUUCUCGAAACUCAAAUCACAUUUCAACUCGACUUAUCGAGCAAUGGAGGACAUCAACAUAUUUUCCCCACUCCAAGCAGCUUCACACUAUUGUGAUCAUUUAAGCAGCUCACAUCGAAGGACAUGGGUUCAACUACAAACACAUUCAUGGAAUGUGAUACAAUAAGCGACGACUCUACACGCUCCAACACUACUCGCCACCCAGCACAUGAAGGACUUAUCCCUUCACAACUCUACCAGAUACCACUUUCUUCGAGAGCAGGACUACCCCUCAUCCUCGUGGUGUGGAUCUAGCAAGAAUGCAUCAACUAGUUGAAUGGUCUACCACCACGACACAACUCGCACGAGUAGGCCUCCUCGAACCACUCAAGUGUUCACAAAGUGGCACUUCACCACUCCGGCAAUCCAAUAGUCUGCAUCCACACUUACGACUCUUCUUUGCAUUCAUCAUCCCUUGAGGGGAAUACACUCCGAUUCGAUCACCGACAUUGCUUAGAAGCAAUAUCGCAGGUGCAUCGCCCAAUCGCGAGUGCUCCAGCCACAAUCGGACGUUUGCUCUACAGCGAGAGGGCAUACUUCGGCACAUCUCCAAUCUCAGUUCUCAAAAAAGCAUUAUUCUCAAACUCGGCGUGGCUAUCCAUUAUCCAAGUGUCUCCUAGAGACCACUUUAUUUUUCAAUACCAUAUGCCACGACCAACUCGAAUUCGUUCCUACAACGAAUUCACACGAACACUCCGUUCGUGAAUCUGAGCCAACUCCUCGACAGAGUUAUUGGCUAAACCGCUUAUCUCGGUUUCCAUGGGUGGAUCACAGGCCACCAAUCCCACGUAGGCCUACAGCCUAAACCUGUCUCAACUAUGCAUAGCGUUACUCGCUCACCGGCGUAGAUCUAAUCAUCACUGGGCGAAAUUCUCACUUGGGAGUUCGCACUCACUGCAACCAGGAGUAACUAUGACCCCAAACUACAUCAUACCCUCGGGUUGGGUCAUAACCGCACUCAGUGUAUUAUCAAUCAUAUGAUCCAACACGUGGCAUUCCACACUUUCGGGUCUAAGCUCGGACUACCACCCCGACCAAACCUCCGCCCUACUCAUAGUUACCGGGUCGCCGUUCCACACAGCUGACUACGCCUGUCCAUAUGGCCCCAGGCUCCAUAGUCCACAAAUGGUCCAGGCACGGGUCGUCCCCAAACGAUACCCGCCGUCGUCGUCCCACUCGACAUGCUCUUUCGAGCAACGCAUACCACUAUCGGCUCCUAAGCACCUAGUGUGAGCCACCAGCCCUACGAGCGAUCCAAGGCAAGCUUAACACUUAGGAAUGCUCAAGUGCUACUGCCAACCCACUCUCUCAGCUGAAUCAAAUCCGCACUUCACGAGCAUCUACACUCAAGCGUCACACGCUUCUAUAGCGUUCCACACUAAGUCCAGCGUCAGGCAAUCUGUCCUGGUCUUUGUCAUCCCGCACCACAGUCGGGACACAACUCACGAUACAAAAAAAUUCUCGCUCGUAGUCCCUCAUGGUGUGGUUUCCCUACCGCAGCUUCCUGGUGCAUAGCAGCCUCCUGCUGACGCUGCGCCACAUCAGCUUGUCGCCUUAUCACUCCAACGAGUGUGGCCAACUGAUCACGGAGUUUCGAGUCUCAACUCGUCUCGGAUAGCUCAGGGACAUAAUUUGUUCCACCCCACGCCGAUCUAAAUGAAGAUCGCCUACGCUGUUCCAUCGUCUCCUGGAACAUGACAGUCUAGCUAAUCCUCGACCCUCCAGGUCGAGCACGUACAACUAUCGUCAACCCAGACUCAAAUCAGGCGAAAGUCAUACAAGGGGGCCUAUUCUCAUCACUCGGUUUCAUGUUGUAUGCAUCCAACAUGAACACCCUCGGCUGAGAAUAAACUGAACUUUGAAUCCACCUCUAACAUCCGUUUUAGAGGUUACUAACUUGACCCAAUCGAUCAAUCUUUCGCCACAAGUCACAAGUUCUCGUCUCUCACGAGCCUUAGCUUCUAUGGUUCACUAUCCUAGGGUCGCCUAGGUCUAACUAAACCAUUUCUAUUAUUCUCUUUAUGCUCUGAUACCACUUUAUCUGUCACGCCCCGAGACUCGCCUAUUUGGUCGGAUUCGGGCACGCCGACAAACCGCCGAACGGACAGAGUUUCCCCCGUACAUUCUAGGCGUUACAAUCGAUACAGUUCGCGAGGUUCCAACCCGGAACGACAUACAAACAGAGAUUGCAUAAGGAAGGUAUCAACAACAUAAAAACAACUAAGUUAUUACAAGCAUUCACAUUACAUGCUUUAUAAAUAUUACAUUUUCGUUUUCUUUUCUUCCAAAUACAAUCAAGAUUAUUACAAUAUUAUCUUUCUUCUUUUCUACAACCCCUAGUUAGGCCGAC
rnacentral:lncRNA from 1 species